rnacentral:rRNA from 1 species
GACGAACGCUGGCGGCGUGCUUAACACAUGCAAGUCGAACGGUAAGGCUCCAGCUUGCUGGGGUACACGAGUGGCGAACGGGUGAGUAACACGUGGGUGACCUGCCCUGCACUUCGGGAUAAGCCUGGGAAACUGGGUCUAAUACCGGAUAGGACCGCACCGUGAGGGUGUGGUGGAAAGUUUUUUCGGUGUGGGAUGGGCCCGCGGCCUAUCAGCUUGUUGGUGGGGUAAUGGCCUACCAAGGCGGCGACGGGUAGCCGGCCUGAGAGGGUGGACGGCCACAUUGGGACUGAGACACGGCCCAGACUCCUACGGGAGGCAGCAGUGGGGAAUAUUGCACAAUGGGCGGAGGCCUGAUGCAGCGACGCCGCGUGGGGGAUGACGGCCUUCGGGUUGUAAACUCCUUUCACCAUCGACGAAGGGUUUCUGACGGUAGAUGGAGAAGAAGCACCGGCUAACUACGUG